rnacentral:rRNA from 1 species
UACGUAGGGACCAAGCGUUGUUCGGAAUUACUGGGCGUAAAGGGCUCGUAGGUGGCCAACUAAGUCAGACGUGAAAUCCCUCGGCUUAACCGGGGAACUGCGUCUGAUACUGGAUGGCUUGAGUUUGGGAGAGGGACGCGGAAUUCCAGGUGUAGCGGUGAAAUGCGUAGAUAUCUGGAGGAACACUGGUGGCGAAGGCGGGUCUCUGGGCAACAACUGACGCUGAGGAGCGAAAGCGUGGGGAGCGAACAGG